GUAGGUGGCUAGCGUUGUCCGGAAUUAUUGGGCGUAAAGCGCGCGCAGGCGGUUUUUUAAGUCUGAUGUGAAAGCCCACGGGCUCAACCGUGGAGGGUCAUUGGAAACUGGAGAACUUGAGUACAGAAGAGGAAAGCGGAAUUCCACGUGUAGCGGUGAAAUGCGUAGAGAUGUGGAGGAACACCAGUGGCGAAGGCGGCUUUCUGGUCUGUAACUGACGCUGAGGCGCGAAAGCGUGGGGAGCAAACAGGAUUAGAUACCCUGGUAGUCCACGCCGUAAACGAUGAGUGCUAAGUGUUAGGGGGUUUCCGCCCCUUAGUGCUGCAGCUAACGCAUUAAGCACUCCGCCUGGGGAGUACGGCCGCAAAGGCUG
rnacentral:rRNA from 1 species